CUGUCAUGCUGUUAUUUGAAGUUUACUCCACCUGCCCUCCAGCAAGCUCCCCUGCUCCGAAAAAAUGGCCGCUAGAGGAGAGAUAUGUUCCUGGAGUUGAUUUACCUCCGUCAGGAGCCUGACAUCUACAUCUAUGUCUGCUCACCAGCUGCGCUCAGAUGGCUGAGAGGAGCAGACGGGUGGGUUUUUAUGGAGCGUGCACACACACUAACACCCACACCAGUGCACACACGAGCAC